GAUGAACGCUGGCGGCGUGCUUAACACAUGCAAGUCGAACGGUGAAGGCGGAGCUUGCUCUGCUGGAUCAGUGGCGAACGGGUGAGUAACACGUGAGCAAUCUGCCCCUGACUCUGGGAUAAGCGCUGGAAACGGCGCCUAAUACUGGAUACGAGCUGCGAAGGCAUCUUCAGCAGCUGGAAAGAACUUCGGUCAGGGAUGAGCUCGCGGCCUAUCAGCUUGUUGGUGAGGUAACGGCUCACCAAGGCGUCGACGGGUAGCCGGCCUGAGAGGGUGACCGGCCACACUGGGACUGAGAGACGGCGCAGACUCCUACGGGAGGCAGCAGUGGGGAAUAUUGCACAAUGGGCGAGAGCCUGAUGCAGCAACGCCGCGUGAGGGACGACGGCCUUCGGGUUGUAAACCUCUUUUAGCAGGGAAGAAGCGAAAGUGACGGUACCUGCAGAAAAAGCGCCGGCUAACUACGUG
rnacentral:rRNA from 1 species